rnacentral:misc_RNA from 1 species
UGGCAAUCCUCACUCAAUCAAAUCUUAUACACACAGCUUUCCCUUUGCUCUCCGUCUAUUACCGUUCACUCUCCACUACUCUUUCACUCUUCUGUCUCAAAAUUCACCAUAAUUUUGGUUUCUUUGUUCUUGAUUUCGAAAAACUUCUCUACUUCUGUUGGCUUUUAAGGUCCUUAUACCCUUUUCAUCUUUCCCCUGAAUUUCUUUGCCCUUUUUUCUCUCCUUUUUUCUGCUUGCGAUUUGUUGUAUUCACUGUUCUUGCUAUUUGCAUCUGUUGUUCCCCCCCCAACCCCCCCCAAAAAAAAAAAAAAACAAAAAAAGAAAGAAAAUGGCCCUGGAUAUCAUUCUUGCUAUUGUUCCGACGAUUGUGGAGUGCACUUUCGUCCCCAUCAAGCGACACCUCAGUUAUGCUUUAAACUCCAGAAGCAAGGUUGAAAAGCUCAAGAAUCAGGUCAAUAACUUGACAUAUCAGAGAGACGGUUUGAAGCAGUCUGUUGAUGAAGCUACGAGGCAAGGAGAUGAGAUCUAUGAUAAUGUUCAAAAUUGGCUGACCAGUGUGGGCAAAGCUAUUGAAGAGGCUGAGGAUCUCGUCACCGGCGAAGAACAAGCA